GAAGGCGGACAGUCUGUAGUGUGCCUUCGGGGAGGCGGCGGCGGCCGCCGUCCAGGCGUCGGGGGCAGCACUGGUGCUCCGCCGGCGCCGCCUGAAGUGGACAUCGGUGGGGAAGGGCUCACCGAACUCAUUCACUCGGGCAGCUUGAAGAAGUGGACCAGCAAUCAAAGAAUCCCGUGUGGCACUUCUUCUAGGAGUUGUUUUAUUCUGCAUUUCUCAGAUAAGAAGCAAUUCAAGCAACUUUUGUUCAGGAUUAGGUUUGUGUUGUACACUUUUCAGGCACCCUGAGGAAGAAGGAAGAUUAUAUUCUUAUCUGAAUUUAUUUUAUUUUAUUUUACAGUUUGAAAGGUCUCUGUAAAAAUUCAAGACAUCCUUUAGAUGUAAGUGUAAUUAAGCAUUGUCUGCUAUGUCUUCGUCAAAUCCAGACCCCCAUCUUUGGUUUAAAAGGCUUUUAAACCUUUAAGGCCUGUAAGCAAGGCAGAAGAGAACUUUGGAAGUUCAAUUUGCACUUCCAUAGAAAAUGUCAAAGUUCUUUGCAUUCUUCACUGAACUUUAGAACAAGACACAGAAAUGUUGGUAUUUGCUGCAGAAAGGGAAAGUUUUAAAAAUCAAUUCAGAAUCCACUUCUGGGCAAAAUGGCACCUCAUGACUCUUCAAAACAACUGGUGAAGUCCUACAAACCUCAACUAUUAGGAGUCAAUUAUUAAUUUUGUAUGAUGAAUAUAAAAGUCAGAGUAAGUAAAGCAUCACCUGCAAAGCCUUGCAUCUUCAGCCCUGUGACUGGCUGAGCAGGGCUGCAGGGCUGGGAGGCAGAGCCUCAGCAGUGCAGGAAUCUCCAGGACUGUGGAGACCCAAGUCAGCACACCCUUAGGGCAAGGUGUAAUGGCACAUAACCUCCCUGCUUGGCGUUGUGCCCACGCUAAUAAACCAGGUUUAAUUAAAA